GACGAACGCUGGCGGCGUGCUUAACACAUGCAAGUCGAACGGAAAGGCCCUGCUUUUGUGGGGUGCUCGAGUGGCGAACGUGUGAGUAACACGUGAGUAACCUGCCCUUUACUUUGGGAUAACUUCAGGAAACUGGGUCUAAUACCUGAUAUGAGCUCCUGCUGCAUUGUUGUGGUUGGAAAGUUUCGGCGGUUGGGGAUGGACUCGCUGCUUAUCAGCUUGUUGGUUGGGUAGUUGCUUACCAAGGCUUUGACGGGUAGCCGGCCUGAGAGGGUGAACGGCAAAAUGGGGACUGAGAUACGGCGCAGAAUCCUACGGGAGGCAGAAGUGGGGAAUAUUGCACAAUGGGCGGAAGCCUGAUGCAGAAACGCCGCGUGCGGGAUGAAGGCCUUCGGGUUGUAAACCGAUUUCGCCUGUGACGAAGCGUGAGUGACGGUAAUGGGUAAAGAAGCACCGGCUAACUACGUG
rnacentral:rRNA from 1 species